rnacentral:misc_RNA from 1 species
CUUUCUGGUUCCGGUCCUUUCUCCGGCCCAGGCUCUUCGUGGCGCUCGUGCUGGGCAGCCGAUGUGUAUUUUAUCUUGUUGAAUCGGGACCGUCAGGCUGUAAUUAGCUGAAAAUGUCGUCGGAAUCACUCCAGCUGCGUGGAACUUUAAGGGGGCACAAUGGAUGGGUCACCCAAAUCGCCACCAACCCGAAGUAUCCGGAGAUGAUCUUGUCAUGCUCCCGAGACAAGACCCUUAUUGUGUGGAAGUUGACCCGUGAUGACCACAGCUAUGGUGUCCCUCAGAAGCGAUUGUACGGUCACUCACACUUUGUGAGCGAUGUUGUGCUUUCCUCUGAUGGUAACUAUGCUCUGUCUGGCUCAUGGGACAAGACCCUUCGUCUGUGGGAUCUCGCUGCCGGACGCUCUACCAGAAGAUUCGAGGACCAUACCAAGGUGUGAUGGUCAAAACGGAAGCUUUUUUUUUUGAAAUUUUUUUUUUAUAGUUAGAAGAUUCAUGGGCUACGUCUCGAUGUGUUGAGCGUUGCGUUCUCUGUGGACAACCGUCAGAUUGUAUCUGGCAGCCGAGACAAGACCAUCAAGCUGUGGAACACACUUGCUGAGUGCAAGUACACUAUCACU